AGCUUGAAGGAGCUGACCACUGCAACAGGUGAUAAUCCUUGUGAAUGGCAACGAAGGGACCACUCCCUGCUGGCUUAUCUGCUGGGCCAGAUGUGUCACACUAACAGGGAGAAAGGAAGAAGAAAAAAAAACUGUGAAACAGGGGAUAAAAGGUCCCCACUAAACUAAGAACUUUGGAGGAGAACAACUCCCAAAGAAACAAAACCUUUGGAGAAGAAGAACUCCCAAAAAAAACAAAACCUUUGGAGAAGAAGAACUCCCAAAGAAACAAAACCUUUGGAGGAGAACCUCCCCAGGGCCUGCUUGCUGCGAAGCUUCCUGGCUUUCUCCCAUCCCCUGCGGUGAUUGCACAAGCUCCUGAGAUCAACAGAGGUACUACGAACAACGCUGGAUCCACGCUGACAUGUACAGAUUCCCUCGGACUGACUUGCAGAAGUUAAUCUCAGAUGGGUCCUGGAUAGGGGAAGAGGCAAAAUGAAGACCUUCAUCUUCCUUCAACACCAGAGUACUUAGUGUUCUUGGGUAGAUCCACCAGCAGUCAGCAUCACCCUCGUGCAGCCCUUUCCAGGCUGUAUCCUUUACAAGCAACGCUCCAGGGAUCAGAUCCAUCCUCCUUUAUGCUCCCCAGCACUUCAAAAUGUUGCACCUAAAUUUACUGCUUUUCAGUUGCCUUUUCUGACAUGAAAGUUCAAUCUGUCGUUUCUGGAAGACUCUGUAGCCCACAGAUCUGCACUGACACCAUUGUUCUCUUUGAAAUCCAAAGAAUACAUCAAACCAAGGUGGGUGGAAACCUAGCUAAAAUUCCAAGCUCAAAGUGUAAUGGUUAAUUAAUGGAUCAAAAUUGGACUGACAGCCAGUCAUGACUGGAAUUCCUUGGGGGUUUAUGUGGGAUCCAAUACUAUUCAGCCUAGUUAAAAAUGAUCUGGAUGAUGGGACUGAAUUCCCAUACCAAGUCUGUGGAUGACAUCAAAAUUAAGAGGUAAAUAUGCUGGAAGGAGAGGUUAAAACAAUAAAUACUUGAGAUUUAAUGAAGACAAAUGUGAAGUCCUGCAGCUGGGAUGGAAUAAUCCCAAGCAGCAGUCCAAACGGGCGACUGGUUGGCUGCAGAGCAGCUCUGUAGAAAGAGCCUUGGAGGUAUGGGAAGACUGCAAGCUGACCAUAGACCAGCAGCCUGCCCUGGCAGAGAAGAAGGCAAAUUGUGUUCUAGGCUGCAUCAGCAAGAGUACAGCCAGUAAGCCAAGGGAUGCAAUUGUUCUUUGGUACUUGGCACUUGUUAAGCCACACCUGGCUCGAUAGUUUUGCUUUCUCAUUGUUCAAAAGAGACAUUGAAAAAUCAGAGACAGACUGGUAGAUUACAACCACAAAUGAAUAGAAUGCAGAACUUGGUGUAAAAAGAAAAGUUGAAGGAGCUGAGCUUUUCAGCCUAGAAAAAUCCAUAGAGAAUUUAAUCACAGUAUUCUAACACCCAAGAGCACUUACGGACAUGAGCUCUAAAGGACAUGGUUUAGUGAUGGACUUGCUAGAUCAGGUUGAGGGUUCUCCUGGACAGUCUUGAAGGUCUUUUCCAACCUAGAUGAUUGUAUGAUUCUAAAAGGUAGUUUUAGAGAGACAGGUGGAUGUACAGAGAAGUACUCUCCUCGUAGGGAUGCACAGCAACAAUAUAAGAUGCAGUGGAUACAAGUUACCACAGAGAAAAUGUCACCAAAAUAAAAUAAAAAAUAAAAAGAUAAAAAAUAUUAACUGUAAGAGCUACGCAUUAAAAAUGGUUGCUCAGAGAAGUGGAAUCACUCACUUCAGCGGCAGAAUCAUUCUUCUCUCCUACAGACGUGGCUUGACAGGGCCCUGGAUAACCAAACCUAAGGCCCUACUUUCAAUAGAGGGUUGGUCCAGACAAUGUCCAGGGUUCCCUUACAAUCUAGGUUUUUCUGUAAUUCUGUCAAAUUCUGGAUGUCUCCUCAGAAAGAGAUUAGAAGCCAGGGUACGCAGGUGAUAAGAUAGACAUUCAGUAGAUGACAGAGUACACUUGAAGAACAAUGAAUUUUUUUCCUCUCUGGUGAAAAAAGAACUAAUCUGUUUUUCACCUUACCACAGUGCCCAGGAAAUUCAGCCAUGGAACAAAACACCAUGAGGUUAGAUAUUGCCCAGAGAACAAGUGGUGGUUGCUAUCCAAAGGAAGUUGUCCACGUAUAAGACAGUGUAAGCCAGGAGGAAAAUGAAACAUACAGACUCUCUGGAGAUUGCUGGAGACAUAGUAUUGGUCAACAUGAUAGCACUGGUUGGGAAACAGCUCUAGGAAACAGCAGCUGAAUAGCUGAGGGCCAGGAUGUGCAGCCUCAGUCAGCAGUGAGUAGCAAUGGAUGCAGACUGAAGCCCUCUCACUCACUCUAAGCUGUUAAGCUGAGCUGCCAGCAGCCUUGCAUCUCUUACUGUGCUGCUGAAAAUAUUUCUGAGCCCAUGGUGAUGAAAGCCCCGAGCUUCAUCUCUGGUGGCCCUGAAACAUCCCAAACACCUUACAGCCUGCAGAACCAUGUAGAUGAUACAUGAGUGUGGGUUAAUGUGAGUCAUUUACUGAAAUUUCUAUAGUCGCAAAUAUCUGUGGGGUGGGGGUAUUGGGGGAGGGAAAGAAGUAUCUUAAAGGAGAAAUGUACACAGGUGUUCAAAUUGCAUGAGAUGUUCUUAUUUAGAUGUUAUUUGAUACUCUUUUACUGGUGGAGUUAUGUUUGAUUCCUGACCUUUUAUCCUCUCUUUCUUAUUAUUUUUUAAAAUUUCUGAAAUGUCUGAGAUCUACCCAUGAGCCAGCAGAGGAGUCAAGCUGCAAGGCAGGGAAAAAGGAAGACUGUGUUAAUGUCACACAGUGAUACCUCAGGACUUGCCUCAGGCACUACACCAACCUGUGUUUCACAACAGUCCUUCAAGGACUCCUGCAUUUAAAUGAGUCUACAAAAGCAUUGGUUGCAUCAAUAGAUUUCAGAUUGCUGGUUGAAGAGGAUUAGGACCAAACUCAUUGUGUUCAAUGCACACAGGGAGUGCAAAGUGUGGGGGGACAGCUAGCAAGGUACUUGGUGUGCAAAUCUCAUACUCCAUCUUCCUGGCAAGACUACUUGCUUUCCACCACUCACCACAACUCACAUCCCUCAAGGAGGAGCUGCAGGAUCCACCUUCACAUGCCCUACAAAAACUUCUGGCAAUGCUGGCAGAAGACUUAAUGGCACCAUUAAUGCAAGUUGGUGUUUCUUAAGACCAGGUAGAUGGCUCCUUUUAACUUUCUGUCUUAUUUCCAUGCAGCAGCUCAUCUGAAAUAACCAUGCAACAUCCAGCAAUGAUGAAGAGCAUAAGUUGUUCACUCUGAGGUAUUUUCAAAAAUACAAAUUUUCAGGAUGCACACCUCUUGAGAUAGUUUGUAAUCUGCCUCGAUGUUAGGAAUAUAUUUUAAGUGAACCAUCAAGAGAAGCCUUCUGCACACAUGGCCACAGAACUAUCUGCAUUUUCUGAGAAGAAAGAUAGCUUAAGAAAAAUGAAAAUAACCACAGUGGCUGCCCUACUAACUGUAAGAAAACACUUUCAGGACAAACAGCUUUAAAACACUCUAUUAAUGAAUUCAGCAAUUUGUGUGUGCAUGAUCAUCAUGUGUUUAAUAGGUCCUUCUGGAAAACUAAACAAAAUAAAUAUUAUUUGCAAUUAUAUAGCUGAAAUAAAAGAUAAGCAAGCCUAGUUAUUGCAGUCCAUUUUAGAUAUGUUUACUGCAAAUAUUGUUUGUAUUUGUUUUCAUAACAUUUCUAAGAAGCAGGGAAGUGAAUCACAAGAGGUUUAGAUGACUUACUUAAGUGAAAUUACAGCAAGAAAGAGACUUGAGCCCUCCAGUUAACCACUGGACCAUGCUACCUUACCCUGUAAAAUACACACAGUGUCAACUCUAGCACAUAGCAAGAGUUGGAAUGCUGAUCUGUAAAACAAAUGUAUUCCUGCUGAUAUUUAGAGUCAUAAUUAAUUUCCCUGAAGUAGAUAUUUAUUCUAAUUUGUACUCCUUCUAAGUACUGCAAAGCCAUAUCCAUUAAGAAAGAAUGAGUUACAUUCUGUUUUGCAUCAUGUAUCAGUGGUUUUUUCUGUUCUUCAUUGUGUGUUAACUGUUUUCUGUUCUGCAUCAUGCAUCAGUAUAUCCUAAAUGCAAGGCUAUAAUCCCUUGUCUCUCCAAACAUCUUCUGGAAGACAGAGAGUGAAAAAGAUUAACUAAAAGCAGAAUCUGAAGAAUGUGUGCUUGCAUAAAUGCAACACAAGGCAUGGUUUGAUUGGAGGAAAUUUAUGGUGAUAAUGAAGAAUUCAAGGAGAACACAGCUUUGAUUUCAAGAAGGUCAGAAGGCUGUAGAGUUGGCAGGUGGACAAGACUUUAUGGCAGAUGCUCAGAGCAAGAGACAUUUUGAAUACUUCACAAAUGGUACUGGAGACAUGGAAUUCCUAGCUCCCAUCCCGAGAGUUAAGAUUUGCUGUUUCUACAAGCUAAUCAAACAGUGGUGAUUUUUAUAAAGAUAACACAGCAAUAUGUUGUAUUCUAUAGUGUUUUUCUGCUGCAAAUUAUCACAAAAUGUUACAAAAUGUGAGCAAUUUUUGCAAGUAUUUAUAGCAUCAGUAGUUCCUCAGAAUAAAAAACCCUGAAAUACUGGAUCACAUGGGCUCAAAAGACAUCUUUUGAGAAAGAAGAGCAACCAUUGGACUCAUCCUACAGACACUAUUUUAUUGUACUUUAAUCAAAGUCUGAUUAGUUGCAGGAUUUAAAAAGAUUUCAGCAAUAAAAUGGACGUCUCAGGCUUGUCUUACACAACAGAAGAGCAAAAGAACAAUGUUGGGUUUUUUUUUAAUGGAAAACAUUUUUGCUUGAGUUAAGGAACAUAUUCAAAAUAACUGCCAAAUCACGCUACUUGUGAAAGUGAAAUGUUUUAAUUGGCUUUCAAAAUUUUUAUGACAAAGCAAAUUUUUGCCUUUUCCAUCUACAGACCUAAAAUCACCCUAUGACUGAGAGGAGAUCUUUCAGGUACUGCAUUGGCACUGUCAUUACUAUUCUUAAAGUAAUAUCUGGACUCUUGUAGCCCUAUAAAAUGUUUUCCUUAUGGCAGACACAUCUUGUUACCAAAUGUUCUCUAAUUCAUUUAUAGCUGAUGUGUAUUAAAGAUAAAUAAAUAGUAAAUUAUACAUGUGAGUUCAUCUAAUAGUCUUGGUACAAUAAUUAUUAUGUCUGUGGCCGUACGCUGGUCUAGCUCUUUCUCCCACUCUUUAUUUUGCACAGUUUAGUGAUUAAUGGUUAAAAAAGACAAAACCUUUGCCAAUUUGAACAAAUAGUUCUAGGGAUUUGAUACAUCUGGGCACGAUUCCAAAUUCAAGGAGGCGCCAGUAAACUAAUGAAGGAUGUUACUGAUCUGUUCUAGCCACAUGAAAUCAAGAUUUCAUCUAGUACGAAUCACACAGGGUCAAGCACAGUCAACAUUUUGUUUGGAGUCCUCAGUCUGUUCCUGGGUGUCAGUGACUCACCAGGACAAGUUCAGUGCCUUGGCUUACUCCUAGGAUGCACUAUGCUGAUACAUGAGACAGCGAAGUCAUAGGAUUUUAAGUCUUCAAGAACGCUGUGAAUACUAAAGUUUUGCUUGAGCCAGUGGAUAGAUACAGCAAACACAUAGGACAGAAAAUCACAGUGAAGGCUUUGUGAAUUCCUCACAGCAAAACACAUUCAACAAGAUGAUAAUGAGGAUAAUAUGAAAUUAUCUGCGCUGUUUGGUGCAGGUUCUCAGAAGCAGUAACAUGUCACCACUAAAAAUGAAGAAAAAUAUCAACAUGAAGAUCUUUAGACAAACUACUGUUAGCACAAGAUUAGCCAUUACUUUUAUGGCAGGUUUGGGGCAACUUACGUAUAUAUCUCUCUAUAGAGAGAGAUGUAUAGAUAUACGUAGAUAUAUGUAGAUAUAUAUACAUAUUUAUUUAUAUAUACACACUUUCUUCUUCCUUUAAAUUUCUUCUCUCCAUAUACUUUGCAUUGUUCAAUUUAACUACACUAAAAUAAAAUUAAGGUUGCAAAGCAAGCAUUCAAAAGUUUAGGAAUAUAAAAUCUAAGUUCAUCUAGGCAAUAAUAAUUUGAUGCCCUCUUCCUAAGUAUUGUAUGUUCAUUGUCCAGUUGCAUGAACAUUUAGUGUAUUUCUCAUGGGAAACUGUUUUGUUAAUCUAUUAAAAUACGGUUCUGCCAUCUUCUGCAUCUUCUUCAUUAAAUGUAUUUUUUAAUGAAAAACAUCAGAUUGUUGCCAUAAAUACAUAACUGUGCAAAACAAUUCUUUAACUGGGGCUUUGAGCAACCUGGUCUAGUGGGAGGUGUCCCUGCCAAUAGCAGGGGAGUUGGAACUAGAUAAUCUUAAAGGUCCCUUCCAAACCAAAACAGUCUAUGAUUUUAUGAUAAGUAGGAUUUUGCAAGGACCUUGGAAAAUCUCGUUUGACACCGAGCUACUUCUGUCACUACUAAAUGUACGCAUGUUUUAUGUAUUUAGUACUGCUGCAUGUGCAUUUUCUUAGUAAGUUCAGUCUCCCUGGAAAAAAAAAAAAAAGUAAAAAUCUGCAUCUUAGCUUGUAAUCCAAUAUGUGCAUCAAGAUGCUUCCUAGAUUGCAAUGGUGUUGCAAUCUGUUUGAGGAGGAGUGUGCCUAUUCCUGCUUUCAUUUAUUCACUUCUCCUUUUUUGAAGCCAGGGUGGCUGGCCCCUGGAAAUCUUCACCUUUUUGUUCCUGGUUUAUGGCAACCAGCUGCCACCUACUUCACUCAACAGCAUCCACCACUGGCCUCAGAAAUCAAUUAGUGAGCAGAAUCCACCUCUUUUUCUAAGCAUCUUUCUACUGACUGAAAAUUUUUAUCUUUACUUCAUCUGGUCACAGCAUUUGCAGAAAAACUCUGUCAGUUCUCUUCCUUCUUCCCUCUACUGCAAGGAGCUUCAUUGGCACUAAAACCAGACUUUUGACUCACUUCUGAAGUCCUUCUCACUUUAUCUCAGUAAAGCUUCCUAGAUCUGGAGAAAAGUCAAAUGGUUUUCAAUUGUAUAUUACAAAAACAUAGAAGGGAAACAAUAAAAUGUUGACUUUUUAAAAGAGUUUUCCUUGUGUUGGUUAUAGGGUUUUUUUUGUCUUGUUUUGUGUUGUUUCUUUUUUAUACAGCUUAUGUUGCAUGCAAAUAGUUCAAAGGGAGGAUUUACAAAGUUAUAUAUAGCGUGUGAAUAAAUAUGACUCUUCCUCUUCACAUUAAAGUAUGCUUUGGCCAUAACAACAGUCCUUAUAAAGUCACUGUAUUCUGAUGUGUGUGCUUCUCUUAGGAAAAUCACUCCUUUGCUUGGUCAGUCUGCAUCUGCAGAGAGCCAGAUAUUACAGUAGAAAUGAAACAUUUACUAGAUAGUCUAUUUCCGUUCCUGUUGUUUGGUUUGUGGGGGGUUUUGUUUUUUUGGAUGGCUUUUUUUGACUCUCAGACUGGCAGAACUGCGAAUGCUGGGAAGACAUUGAAAUCAAUUGUUUACGGAGGAAAAAAUAAAAGUCUUCCUAGUUGGUUAAAAUAUUGCUGUAUUCCACAGCUUCUCAACUAGUUUUCUUUAGCUGAAACACUGCUGGAAGGCACUGCAGAGCCUAGUUAGGUAGAAAACCAAAAUGAGAACAUAAAAAGAAUGGAAGACAUUAUCAUAUGAUUUGCAGUUCCAAGCUGAAAAUGAUCCUGUCUGCUUCACAAAACCACUUACUAAAAUACCACAGAAACACAGAAUUUAGGAGUUGGAAGGGACCUCUGGAGAUCACUGAGCCCAAACCAUUGAAAAAGCAGUUCCCUACAGCAGGUUGCACAGGUAGGCAUCCAGACAGGUCUUAAAUAUCUGCAGAGAAAGAGGCUCCACAACCUCUCUGUUCAAGCCUGUUCAAGUGCUCUGUCACUUUGACAGUAAAGUUCUUCCUUGUAUUAGUAUGGAACUUCCUGUGAUACAGUUUCUGCCCAUUGCCCCUUGUUCUACAGUUGCUUGCCACCAAAAAGAGUCCGCCCCAACGACUCGACUCCCACACUUUAAAUGCUUAUAAACAGCUAUGAGAUUUCCUCUCAGCCUUCUCUUCUUCAGACUGAAGUGUCUCAGCCUUUCCUUAUUAGAGAGAUGCUCCAGGC